UGAAAACAUCUCUGUAUAAAUUCUAUUACUUAUUGCUCAGUGAGUUCUUAUCAUCCACAGCAGACCUUCCCAACUACAGUGCCUGACAAUUCCUCAGAUGAAACAGAUGUGAGAUGUAGCUGGCACAUUUGUGGACUCUGCUGUGCUAUGUUAACUGUUCCAUUGCUUGAGGACUGUCAGAGUUUGAGGAGUGCCUAUAUUAUGGUUUCCACGCUGGACACAUUUUCCUGAUGCAUCAGCUUUGUCGUGAUUUGAAAUGUCAAGCUAGUUUUCAACAUUUUUAUAUAUGUCAUUCUCAAUAUAGCAACAGAAUCUCUUAUGGAAAACAAUGGAGCCUAGACUGGGAGCUGCUAAUGAGCGUGCUGGAGAGAGUGUCCAAACCAAUGCAGGCUGGAGACAAUUCACCUGUCUGCUUUCAGAUCCAGGGUAUGAUGCAUGACAGUAAGACACUCGGUAGUAGCUUUUCUUUAAAUAAUUUA
ensembl:lincRNA